rnacentral:rRNA from 1 species
UACAGAGGGUGCGAGCGUUAAUCGGAUUUACUGGGCGUAAAGGGCGCGUAGGCGGUUAUGUAAGUGAGAUGUGAAAUCCCUGGGCUUAACCUAGGAACUGCAUCUCAUACUGUAUAGCUAGAGUAUUGUAGAGGGUAGUGGAAUUUCCGGUGUAGCGGUGAAAUGCGUAGAGAUCGGAAGGAACACCAGUGGCGAAGGCGGCUACCUGGACAAAUACUGACGCUGAUGCGCGAGAGCGUGGGGAGCAAACAGG